rnacentral:rRNA from 1 species
UACGUAGGGGGCGAGCGUUGUCCGGAAUCAUUGGGCGUAAAGAGCACGUAGGCGGCCUGUCAGGUCGGAUGUGAAAACCCGCGGCUCAACUGCGGGACUGCAUUCGAAACCGGCAGGCUAGAGUCCAGUAGAGGAAAGUGGAAUUCCCAGUGUAGCGGUGAAAUGCGCAGAUAUUGGGAAGAACACCGGUGGCGAAGGCGGCUUUCUGGGCUGUGACUGACGCUGAGGUGCGAAAGCUAGGGGAG